rnacentral:lncRNA from 1 species
AUCAACAAAUUUAGUAGACGAAACGACCCAAGCACUAGUCAUUAAGGGUAACAGUUAUCUUCAACAGCAUAAAAAAUAUUUUAUAUUAAUAUAGAUAUUAGAUAAUAAACCUUACACUACAAACAAUUGAUCAGAAGAUUAAUAAGAUAAUUCACAAAUUCCUCAAUUUAUCAUUUCUCACAAAUAUCACAAUAUUCACAAAGUAAUAUGCAUCUGCUAAAUUCAUUUCCAAGCCAUUUGAAACCCAUGUUGUUGUGUUCUUCUCAGCAUCUAAUAAAUGCAAUUACUUUUUUUGCCCUAAUUUUAUGGUAGAUUCAAUUAAAUAAUUUAUUCAAUCUCAAGCCUAAUCAAUUCUUCCAAUUUGGCCAAAACCCUACAAUCUUUGAUUGUAACCCUAAACAUAAUUUUCCAACAACCAUUUUCAAGUUUCCAACAAAAUCUACUUCCUUCAACUCGGAAUGCUGAUAACUCGUUCAUCCUGACUAAAGCAUUCCACAUAAAAAGUCACAUAGUAAGUUGUGAAAAAAACUUACCGACAGUGAUGGCGUGCUUCCGUUAGACCUACGUCUGCAAGAGUGGGAGACAGCGGGGGUUGAAGGGGAGGUAGAAUAUAGGGUUUGGAAUUAGGCGUUUGGCAUAUGUGGCUGUGAAAUAUAGGAAUGUCGAGUAAUUCCUAUAUUUUGUUGAUUUGUCCCAAUUGAAUUCACUUAAUGGGCCAUUAUUUUUUGUGAAAAGCCCAACUAAAGAAAAGCCCAGAAUCUAAAAUGAAA